UACGGGGGGGCAAGCGUUGUUCGGAAUUACUGGGCGUAAAGGGCUUGUAGGCGGCCAACUAAGUCCGACGUGAAAUCCCCAGGCUUAACCUGGAACUGCGUCGGAUACUGGAUGGCUUGAAUUCGGGAGAGGGAUGCAGAAUUCCAGGUGUAGCGGUGAAAUGCGUAGAUAUCUGGAGGAAUACCGGUGGCGAAGGCGGCAUCCUGGACCGACAUUGACGCUGAGGAGCGAAAGCUAGGGGAGCAACGGG
rnacentral:rRNA from 1 species